rnacentral:rRNA from 1 species
AUUGAACGCUGGCGGCAGGCUUAACACAUGCAAGUCGAGCGGGGAAAGGUAGCUUGCUACCUGACCUAGCGGCGGACGGGUGAGUAAUGCUUAGGAAUCUGCCUAUUAGUGGGGGACAACGUUCCGAAAGGAACGCUAAUACCGCAUACGUCCUACGGGGGAAAGCAGGGGAUCUUCGGACCUUGCGCUAAUAGAUGAGCCUAAGUCGGAUUAGCUAGUUGGCGGGGUAAAGGCCUACCAAGGCGACGAUCUGUAGCGGGUCUGAGAGGAUGAUCCGCCUCACUGGGACUGGGACACGGCCCAGCUUCCUACGGGAGGUAGCAGUGGGGAAUAUGGGACAAUGGGCGCAAGCCUGAUCCAGCCAUGCCGCGUGUGUGAAGAAGGCCUUUUGGUUGUAAAGCACUUUAAGCGCGGAGGAGGCUACUUGGAUUAAUACUCUAGGAUAGUGGACGUUACUCGCAGAAUAAGCACCGGCUAACUCUGUGCCAGCCGCCGCGGUAAAAC